ensembl:lncRNA
CCCCAAAAGACACCACUCAGGACUCUGGGACUAAAACCUACAAGUUCGGAAGCAGGAGCCAAAGGAGAGGACUGAGACACAAAGAAAGGAAGAAUCAGAGAGAUUGUGAAACCUGUGCCAAGAUGCUGCUUCUAAGGGGUUCAGUUGGGACUUGAUUUGAUUACAAGCCUUGGCCUCAAACCUGUGCUGUGCUUCCUGCUCUGUGGGUUCCCAGGAGGCCUCCGCAGUUGCCAUGCCAACAGGAAGACUGGAUUCCAAAGGGUAAAUGGACGCUCCACCCCCAAGCUGCCUUGCACCUCAUGCUUCAACCAGACUGGAUUUCUCACUGUUCCCCUGGCCUGCCUGCUCCCUCCUGUUUCCCUAACACCUUCAAAAGUUGUAUUAAAGGUGAAGCCUUCC